GGGUCGCUAGCUCAACGGCAGAGCAACGGCCUCUUAAGCCGCAGGUUGUGGGUUCGAAUCCCACGCGACCCA
rnacentral:tRNA from 1 species